rnacentral:tRNA from 1 species
GCCGGAGUGGUGGAACUGGUAGACGCGCUGGACUCAAAAUCCAGUGGGCCUCGGCCCGUGCGAGUUCGAUUCUCGCCUCCGGCACCA